rnacentral:rRNA from 1 species
GUGGGGAAUAUUGGACAAUGGGCGAAAGCCUGAUCCAGCCAUGCCGCGUGUGUGAAGAAGGUCUUCGGAUUGUAAAGCACUUUAAGUUGGGAGGAAGGGCAGUAAGUUAAUACCUUGCUGUUUUGACGUUACCGACAGAAUAAGCACCGGCUAACUUCGUGCCAGCAGCCGCGGUAAUACGAAGGGUGCAAGCGUUAAUCGGAAUUACUGGGCGGAAAGCGCGCGUAGGUGGUUUUGUAAGUUGGAGGUGAAAUCCCCGGGCUCGACCUGGGAACUGCCUCCAAAACUGAAUGACUAGAGUACGGUAGAGGGUAGUGGAAUUUCCUGUGUAGCGGUGAAAUGCGUAGAUAUAGGAAGGAACACCAGUGGCGAAGGCGACUACCUGGACUGAUACUGACACUGAGGUGCGAAAGCGUGGGGAGCAAACAGGAUUAGAUACCCGGGUAGUCC